ACCGUCUCUAUCUGGGGGAUGCGCACCAUUCCAAUGAACGUAUAGUGAGGAUUGGUCUGCUAACACCAAUGAAAUAUCAUGUGUCACUGACUUCUCCGAAGUUAGUAGGCACAAUUUUUGGGGCU
rnacentral:ncRNA from 1 species